AAACCGGCGGCAUCGAUAAACCGCAAAAGCACACGAAAUGUCCAAUUUCAAUGAAUAUGCCAUAAAUUUGAUCGGUUGAAGCUCCCAUCAUUGGAUGGUAUAUAAGCAGACGUAAUUCAACAUUUCACUCAACAUCAAGCUCCCAUCCACUCAGAUUCUUGUAUACGCAUUUCAAUUCAGGUAUUAUGAAUGCCUUCUGUUUUCCUUUUCAAGUGAUAGAUACACACAUAUACACUAUGUUCCCGAGUCAUUUAACAGGGGGAGGGGAGGGGAAGGAAAAUUUUCUCUCCUAAUCUCUCCAAUUUGGGAAGAUGAAUAUAUGGUUAUAUUUGGUCAUAUUUUCUUCACUUUUCCCUCCCCUCCCCUAUUAAAUGAAACUCAGGAACAUCGUUAUAUUGUUCGCUAUU
rnacentral:lncRNA from 1 species